rnacentral:rRNA from 1 species
AGAGCACAAGGAGAAUGCCUUGGCACUAGGAGCCGAUGAAAGACGUGGUAAGCUGCGAAAAGCUUCGGGGAGGCGCAAACAGCCAUCGAUCCGGAGAUAUCUGAAUGGGGAAACCUACUUGAGCAAACCUCAAGUAUCCAUACGUGAAUCCAUAGCGUAUGGAAGGGAACGCUGUGAACUGAAACAUCUAAGUAGCAGUAGGAGGAGAAAGAAAACUCGAUUUCCUAAGUAGCGGCGAGCGAACGGGAAAGAGGCCAAACCGAAGGACCUGGUUCUUCGGGGUUGCGGACUGCAAUUAGCAUUGCUGAGAGAUAGACGAAUGGUUUUGGGAAAGCCAGCCGUAGACGGUGAAAGCCCGGUAGACGAAAUCUUGAAGCAGCGAGCAGGAUCCAGAGUACCACGAGACACGAGAAACCUUGUGGGAAGCCGGGGGGACCACCCCCCAAGCCUAAAUACUCCCUAGUGACCGAUAGUGAAGCAGUACUGUGAAGGAAAGGUGAAAAGGACCCCGGGAGGGGAGUGAAAGAGAACCUGAAACCUUGUGCUUACAAACAGUCAAAGGCCUACGGGCUGAUGGCGUACUUUUUGUAGAACGGUCCGGCGAGUUACUAAUGCCAGCGAGGUUAAGUACUGAGAAGGUACGGAGCCGAAGGGAAACCAAGUCUGAAUAGGGCGUAGAGUUGGUAUUAGUAGACCCGAAACCGGGUGACCUAUCCAUGUCCAGGUUGAAGGAACCGUAAAAGGUUUUGGAGGACCGAACACACAUGUGUUGAAAAACGUGGUGAUGAGGUGUGGAUAGCGGAGAAAUUCCAAUCGAACUCGGAGAUAGCUGGUUCUCCUCGAAAUAGCUUUAGGGCUAGCCUCGAGCUGGAGUCUAACGGAGGUAAAGCACUGAACUGACGCGGGGCCCAAAAAGGUUACCAACUCAUAUCAAACUAAGAAUGCCGUCAAGAUACCCUCGGGAGUCAGUCUGCGUGAGAUAAGUCGCGUGGACAAAAGGGAAAGAGCCCAGACCGACAGCUAAGGUCCCAAAGUACGUGUUAAGUGGAAAAGGAUGUGGGAUUUCAUAGACAACUAGGAUGUUGGCUUAGAAGCAGCCAUACAUUUAAAGAGUGCGUAAUAGCUCACUAGUCGAGAAAACCUGCGCCGAAAAUGUAACGGGGCUAAAACACGACACCGAAGCUACGGAUUUCCUACUAGGUAGGAAGUGGUAGAGGAGCAUCCUGCAAGGACGAAGCCAAAGUGAGAGCGAUGGUGGACGAAACAGGAGAGAGAAUGCCGGAAUGAGUAGCGAGAUACAUGUGAGAAACAUGUAGGCCGAAUAUCUAAGGAUUCCUGGGUAAAGCUAAUCUUCCCAGGGUUAGUCGGGGCCUAAGGCGAGGACGAAAGUCGUAGUCGAUGGAUAACAGGUUGAUAUUCCUGUACUACACAUAAUCAGAACUGUGGGGACGCAGGAGGAUAGGGAAACCGGGGAAUGGAAAGACCCGGUCAAGCGUAAAGCUGUGGGAGAUAGGCAAAUCCGUCUCCUGUAAGUGAAACGUGAUGAGGACUGAAAAAAAGUAAGGAAGUUUCCGAAUCCACACUGCCGAGAAAAGCCGCUAUUGCGUUAUGUGUACCCGUACCGUAAACCGACACAGGUAGAUGAGGAGAAAAUCCACAGGCCGACGGGAGAAGUGUUGUUAAGGAACUCGGCAAAAUGACCCCGUAACUUCGGGAUAAGGGGAGCCUACGAGAGUAGGCCGCAGAGAAUAGUCUCAAGCGACUGUUUAGCAAAAACACAGGUCUAUGCUAAAUCGAAAGAUGAUGUAUAUGGGCUGACGCCUGCCCGGUGCUGGAAGGUUAAGGGGAAGUGUUAGAGCAAUCGAAGCACUGAACUUAAGCCCCAGUAAACGGCGGCCGUAACUAUAACGGUCCUAAGGUAGCGAAAUUCCUUGUCAGGUAAGUUCUGACCCGCACGAAAGGCGUAACGAUUUGGGCGCUGUCUCAGCUGUAGACUCGGUGAAGUCUUAGUACCUGUGAAGAUGCAGGUUACCCGCGACUAGACGGAAAGACCCCAUGGAGCUUCACUGCAGGUUGAUAUUGGGAUUUGAUGCAGCAUGUACAGGAUAGGUAGGAGGCAAAGAGAUGGAUACGCCAGUAUUCAAGGAGCCGCUGUUGGGAUACUACCCCUGUUGUAUUGGAUUUCUAACCGGACGACGUAGAGCCGUUGACGGGACAGUGUCAGUCGGGCAGUUUGACUGGGGCGGUCGCCUCCCAAAGAGUAACGGAGGCGCCCAAAGAUACCCUCAGCUUGGAUGGAAACCAAGCGCAGAGUGCAAAGGCAAAAGGGUGUUUGACUGCGAGACCCACAAGUCGAGCAGGGACGAAAGUCGGGCUUAGUGAUCCGGCGGUGCUGAAUGGAAAGGCCGUCGCUCAACGGAUAAAAGCUACCCUGGGGAUAACAGGCUGAUCUCCCCCAA